GACGUAGGUGGCGAACGUUAUCCGGAAUUAUUGGGCGUAAAGGGUGCGUAGGUGGCCUGGCAAGUUAUUAGUGGUAAAUCGAGGCUCAACCUCGUGGAAACUAGUAAUACUGUUCGGCUUGAGUGCAGGAGAGGUUAACGGAACUCUAUGUGGAGGGGUAAAAUCCAUAGAUAUAUGGAUGAACAUCAAUAACGGCGAAGGCAGUUAACUAUUCUGUUACUGACACUGAGGCACGAAAAGCGUGGGGAGCAAAACGG
rnacentral:rRNA from 1 species